rnacentral:rRNA from 1 species
CGGCAACAGCUCAAAUUUGAAAUCUGGUACCUUCGGUGCCCGAAUUGUAAUUUGUAGAGGAUGCUUCGGCGUUUACGCCGCCCAAAGUUCCUUGGAACGGGACGUCAUAGAGGGUGAGAGCCCCGUGUC